rnacentral:rRNA from 1 species
UUUCCUAUGAGAGAUAUGCAAAGCACUUCUAGACAGGAAUCUGAGGAGACUCCUGAACCUGCCAUCCCUAUGGAAUAUUAUGAACAAACACAUGAUGAAAAUCCUGAGGAGGAUGACGAGGAAACCCUUGGUAGGGGCAAGAGACAAAGGACUGCAAAGACCUUUGGUGAUGAUUUCUUCGUGUACCUCGUGGAUGAUACUCCAACUUCUAUUUCAGAAGCGUAUGCCUCUCCAGAAGCUGACUACUGGAAGGAUGCGGUCCGUAGCGAGAUGGAUUCCAUCAUGGCUAAUGGGACAUGGGAGAUCACCGACCGUCCCUAUGGUUGCAAACCACUGGGAUGUAAGUGGGUGUUCAAGAAAAAGCUUAGGCCCGAUGGUACGAUUGAAAAGUACAAGGCUAGACUUGUGGCCAAGGGCUAUGACCAGAAAGAAGAGGAAGAUUUCUUCGAUACUUAUUCACCUGUGGCUAGACUAACCACCAUUCGAGUAUUACUCUCGUUGGCGGCCUCACAUGGUCUUCUCGUCCACCAAAUGGAUGUCAAGACAGCUUUUCUGAAUGGAGAGCUAAAUGAGGAAAUCUACAUGCAACAGCCAGAUGGCUUUGUGAUAGAUGGUCAGGAAAGAAAGGUGUGUAGGUUGCUGAAAUCUCUAUAUGGCCUAAAGCAAGCACCUAAGCAAUGGCAUGAUAAGUUUAAUACAACUCUGACAUCUGUUGGCUUCGUUGUUAAUGAAGCUGACAAAUGUGUAUACUAUCGCCAUGGUGGGGGCGAAGGAGUUAUACUGUGCUUGUAUGUUGAUGACAUACUGAUAUUCGGAACCAACCUCAAAGUCAUUGAGGAGGUUAAGUCCUUUCUGUCUCAGAACUUUGAGAUGAAGGAUCUUGGUGUGGCUGAUGUUAUCUUGAAUAUCAAGCUACUGAGAGAUAAUGAGGGUGGGAUCACACUUCUGCAAUCCCAUUAUGUUGAGAAGGUGUUGAGUCGCUUUGGAUAUUCGGACUGCACACCAUCUCAAACACCAUAUGAUCCUAGCGUGUUGAUUCGAAAGUCCAAAGGCAUGGCUAAAGAUCAAUUGAGAUACUCUCAAAUCAUUGGUUCACUGAUGUACCUAGCGAACGCAACGAGGCCUGACAUCGCGUUUGCUGUGAGCAAACUGAGCCGGUUUGUUUCCAAACCGGGUGAUGUACAUUGGCAUGCUGUAGAAAGAGUUAUGCGCUAUCUCAAAGGUACUAUGAAUUAUGGACUUCACUAUACCGGAGACCCGUCGGUACUUGAAGGGUAUAGUGAUGCGAAUUGGAUCUCUGAUGCUGAUGAGAUGAAGGCCACAACUGGGUAUAUGUUUACUCUUGGAGGUGGCGCUGUUUCUUGGAAGUCUUGCAAGCAAACGAUCUUAACGAGAUCGACAAUGGAAGCAGAAUUAACAGCAUUAGACACUUCUGGUGUUGAAGCAGGAUGGCUUCGAGAUCUUUUGAUGGACUUGCCACUGGUUGAUAAACCGGUUCCGGCUAUCCUUAUGAACUGUGAUAAUCAGACUGUCAUCACCAAGGUGAAGAGUUCAAAGGACAACAUGAAGUCCAACAAACACAUAAGAAUGAGAUUAAAGGCUGUCAGAAAAUUAAGAAACUCCGGAGUGAUAGCGUUGGACUAUGUCCAUACGGCUAAGAAUCUGGCAGAUCCCUUUACGAAAGGGCUAUCACGUGUAGUGAUAGAUAGUGCA